CAGUCGUACGCUUCUUUUUCCCCGGAGCUUGCUCCACCGGAAAAAGAAGAGUGGCGAACGGGUGAGUAACACGUGGGUAACCUGCCCAUCAGAAGGGGAUAACACUUGGAAACAGGUGCUAAUACCGUAUAACAAUCGAAACCGCAUGGUUUUGAUUUGAAAGGCGCUUUCGGGUGUCGCUGAUGGAUGGACCCGCGGUGCAUUAGCUAGUUGGUGAGGUAACGGCUCACCAAGGCCACGAUGCAUAGCCGACCUGAGAGGGUGAUCGGCCACAUUGGGACUGAGACACGGCCCAAACUCCUACGGGAGGCAGCAGUAGGGAAUCUUCGGCAAUGGACGAAAGUCUGACCGAGCAACGCCGCGUGAGUGAAGAAGGUUUUCGGAUCGUAAAACUCUGUUGUUAGAGAAGAACAAGGAUGAGAGUAACUGUUCAUCCCUUGACGGUAUCUAACCAGAAAGCCACGGCUAACUACGUGCCAGCAGCCGCGGUAAUACGUAGGUGGCAAGCGUUGUCCGGAUUUAUUGGGCGUAAAGCGAGCGCAGGCGGUUUCUUAAGUCUGAUGUGAAAGCCCCCGGCUCAACCGGGGAGGGUCAUUGGAAACUGGGAGACUUGAGUGCAGAAGAGGAGAGUGGAAUUCCAUGUGUAGCGGUGAAAUGCGUAGAUAUAUGGAGGAACACCAGUGGCGAAGGCGGCUCUCUGGUCUGUAACUGACGCUGAGGCUCGAAAGCGUGGGGAGCAAACAGGAUUAGAUACCCUGGUAGUCCACGCCGUAAACGAUGAGUGCUAAGUGUUGGAGGGUUUCCGCCCUUCAGUGCUGCAGCUAACGCAUUAAGCACUCCGCCUGGGGAGUACGACCGCAAGGUUGAAACUCAAAGGAAUUGACGGGGGCCCGCACAAGCGGUGGAGCAUGUGGUUUAAUUCGAAGCAACGCGAAGAACCUUACCAGGUCUUGACAUCCUUUGACCACUCUAGAGAUAGAGCUUCCCCUUCGGGGGCAAAGUGACAGGUGGUGCAUGGUUGUCGUCAGCUCGUGUCGUGAGAUGUUGGGUUAAGUCCCGCAACGAGCGCAACCCUUAUUGUUAGUUGCCAUCAUUCAGUUGGGCACUCUAGCAAGACUGCCGGUGACAAACCGGAGGAAGGUGGGGAUGACGUCAAAUCAUCAUGCCCCUUAUGACCUGGGCUACACACGUGCUACAAUGGGAAGUACAACGAGUCGCGAAGUCGCGAGGCUAAGCUAAUCUCUUAAAGCUUCUCUCAGUUCGGAUUGUAGGCUGCAACUCGCCUACAUGAAGCCGGAAUCGCUAGUAAUCGCGGAUCAGCACGCCGCGGUGAAUACGUUCCCGGGCCUUGUACACACCGCCCGUCACACCACGAGAGUUUGUAACACCCGAAGUCGGUGAGGUAACCUU
rnacentral:rRNA from 1 species